rnacentral:lncRNA from 1 species
UGUGUUAAGAGAGGCCAUGAGUAAGCUUUUCAGCAAUCGUGGAGGAUGUGAAGGACUAGGUGGUAUGUAGUGGGAGUGCUCGGCCAAAUUUUGUACAUCUUAGGAAAGUCUUUUAAUCUCUUCUUUCUUCGCUGCAGUUUAUUUUCCUGCAUGUUCCUAUAGUUUAGGCAUAUCGGAGAACUCGGUCCUUUGUUUUCAAGAUUUUAAUGCGGCAAGGUCUUCCAAUGCCUCUCUUGCCCACC